UGCAGGUUGAACGAAGUAGCAAUACUUAGUGGCGAACGGGUGAGUAUAAUAUGGGUAUCUGCCUUUUAGUUUGGAAUAACACGGGGAAACUUGUGCUAAUACCGAAUAAGCCUUAACAGGGAAAGCUUUAGCGCUAAAAGAUGAGCCCAUACUUGAUUAGCUAGUUGGUAGGGUAAUGGCUUACCAAGGCUACGAUCAAUAGCUGAUCUGAGAGGAUGAUCAGCCACAUUGGGACUGAGACACGGCCCAAACUCCUACGGGGGGCAGCAGUGGGGAAUCUUGCACAAUGGGGGAAACCCUGAUGCAGCGAUGCCGCGUGAGUGAAGAAGGCCUUUGGGUUGUAAAGCUCUUUCGUCGGGGAAGAAAAUGACUGUACCCGAAUAAGAAGGUCCGGCUAACUUCGUGCCAGCAGCCGCGGUAAUACGAAGGGACCUAGCGUAGUUCGGAAUUACUGGGCUUAAAGAGCUCGUAGGUGGUUAAGAAAGUUGGUAGUGAAAUCCCAAGGCUCAACCUUGGAACUGCCACCAAAACUUUUUGACUAGAGUAUGAUAGAGGUAAGUGGAAUUUCUAGUGUAGAGGUGAAAUUCGUAGAUAUUAGAAAGAACACCAAUUGCGAAGGCAACUUUCUGGAUCAUUACUGACACUGAGGAGCGAAAGCAUGGGUAGCGAAGAGGAUUAGAUACCCUCGUAGUCCAUGCUGUAAACGAUGUGUGCUA
rnacentral:rRNA from 1 species